rnacentral:rRNA from 1 species
CCCGAUCCCAUUCCGAACUCGGUCGUCAAGCUCUUUAGCGCCGAUGAUACUGCCCUCUGUGGUGGGAAAGUAGGUCGUUGCUGGGU